CUAUUAUUUUGAAAAGUGCUGUGCAAACAGUGUUCCUCUCAGAUGGUUUCCAGAGUUAGUUCCUUACAAGCAUUUCCUCUUGAAACAUCGGGAAUCUAAAUAAAGAAAGGUGUCUAAUGGUCUAGUCUACCAACUUCACUAUGCUGAUUUAUGAAAGAAUUGCUGAAACCCAGUGAAUAAUAGCAUUUGCCCUUCUUUCUCAAAAAAGCAGCAUUUGCUUUCUUCUGGCAAGGAAUAAUUAAGCUAAUUUCUCCAUGAACCUUGGAAAAAGUGGCAACGAAUAAUGGAUUUGUCCCUCAAAGAACAUUUCAAGCAAACAUCUUAUCAGCUACAAAUUCAUUUGAGGCAGUUCCAGGUCAGCCACAGGCAAUUUUUCUCAUUAAAAUACUGUUUAAACUGUUGUAUCCAGAUGACACAGGAGACAUAUCAGACAAACAACACCUGCAAGAAGAAUUGGUGAAGUAUUGACUUUUCAUCAAUCAAAAAGUUUACUAAGCAGAUGAAAAUAAUUUGCCUUCACAGUGACAUUUUCCUGACGUCUUGCUAGUACUUAAAGGCAUUGUUUUUUCUUUAACACCCAAACUUUAAUUACCAGAAAAGGUUAGCAUCAAAACAAAGGACAUGUUGGUAAUUUAGAGGCCAUAUCAGAAA
rnacentral:lncRNA from 1 species